UACGAAGGGGGCUAGCGUUAAUCGGAAUUACUGGGCGUAAAGCGCGCGUAGGUGGUUCGGUAAGUUGAAUGUGGAAUCCCCGGGCUCAACCUGGGAACUGCAUCCAAAACUGCCGAGCUAGAGUAUGGUAGAGGGUGGUGGAAUUUCCUGUGUAGCGGUGAAAUGCGUAGAUAUAGGAAGGAACACCAGUGGCGAAGGCGACCACCUGGACUGAUACUGACACUGAGGUGCGAAAGCGUGGGGAGCAAACAGG
rnacentral:rRNA from 1 species